ensembl:misc_RNA
ACACAAUCUUAAAGUGUUUCCAUCUUAGAAAAAUCUUUUCAAGUAUUUCUUUUGUGUUUUUUAACCUAUAAAAAAGAGAUGAUGGAAUAUAUUUUGUAAACUGAAUUUUGUCUUACUCCUUUUCACUCUCCCAACUGCAAUUUAAUAGUUGUCAGAUUUCCCUGAGCAUUGGAUUUAAGUAUAUAGAACCCAGAUAUUCCUCAGUAAAUUAGUUUGCUAACUACUUUGUCACUUUUGUGAUUUCACAUUUGAGAAAUAGGUUAAUACAGAAAUCUACCU